UAGUAUAUUAAACAAAUCCCAGCACCACACCAAAAGGAGGCAGCAAAUCAGAGCUAAACAUAUCCAUCUGCUAAUUUCCACAUGGUAAGAGAGCAACACAAAACAGGUUUAUAAUAUUUGGAUGUUUUAUUUUCUUUAAAUCAAGCAGGUUACAUUUCAUUUGUUUUUUUUUUACACAAUCUGAUAUUUAGAGGCAUUUGCAAAUAUGCUCAUAAAUUACAUGAUUUGUAAUCCCAAAGAAGGUGGUUAAUGAUCAAUAUUGGGAUCAACAGUGAUCACCCUACUAAUGUAGGCAUUACGUAUACAGGCCGAAAAAGAAAAGUUCCCAUUAAGGUCUCAUGUGAAACACCACAGGUCUGAAAUACUCAGGAACACAUGAAAAUGGCACAAAAAUGAAUUUCACUCUCCAACCUUUUGCUAAAGAGACGUUGACAGGCCCACAGAGAGCCUGGACGCUCACGGGACAACAUUCACACACAUUCUGCUUCAUGAAGAGGUCAGAUUAUCGUCAGACCAUAGACAUUACAUGUAAGGACACUGAACAUUUGGCCGGAUUACACAUAGAAAUGCAAUCCAAAAUGGGUAAAGAUAAAGCAUGUUUAUUGAUGCGGCAAACAAAGGUUCAAAUAUCCUCCAAAGCACUUCAAGCCCUCAAAGAAUGAAACUCAAAACACAGAUAAGGUAAAAGAAGAAACUUCUAAAUUAAAGUGGAGCGACCCAGGGACAAGUCUGGUUUGGGUUAAAGAUUAUGGAUGGUUAACUUUGUGUAACGUGUUUGGAAAAGCAAGUUUAGGUUUUAGGCAAGCGACUUCAGGUAUUAGGCAAGCGAGUUUAGGCAAGCGAGUUUAGGCAAGCGAGUUUAGGCAAGCGAGUUCAGGUAUUAGGCAAGCGACGCGAGUUUAGCCAAGCAAGUUCAGGUUUUAUGCAAGCGAGUUUAGACAAGCGAGUUUAGGCAAGCAAGUUUAGGUAAGAGAGUCAAGUUACUUUAGGCCUCACUUUAUUUGCGGUUAAAUUGCGGCAUUAGGUUUAGAAAGAAGGUUAAGAUCCAGGCUCAGGUUUGCUUCCAGCCUCGUCCCUCUAGUCGCUCCCUAUAAAGAGGGUUCCCAGCUACCGUGUUAAAAUACAACAGCUGGGAUUACAGAUAUGGAGUACAGAAAUAAAUGACAAAGAUUGAUUCAAACAUUCUUCCCCCAAAAUGUGGUGCAACAUAAAAUGGAGAAAAAAUUACUUUCUCUCCAUUGAAACCCAGUCAUAUCUUACGAUCUCACAAGGUCCCGCCGCAAGGGGCGGACUUACGAGCUCUAUAGAGUGUGCACUGUGUUGAUGUUGGGUGUGGAUUAAUGUGCUGGUGUAGCCAUCCAGGGAUCCUCAGGGUUUAUGGGAGUAGGACACACUGGUGUAGCCAUCCAGGGAUCCUCAGGGUUUAUGGGAGUAGGCCACACUGGUGUAGUUCAGUACUGUGAAGUAAAUUGAUGCAAAAAGUAGAAUCAGUGUCAAGGGCAAUCAAAUGUCUAUAAAUGCAGGAACAGCCCCAUCUGGUCUCAAUCAGCAUUUGAUUUCAUAGACUUAAAUUAGCGAAAAAACAAGCGUUUAUUUACCGCAACAGUCCUAUUGCUGGAGAACCAGGUUUCAAAAAAAU
ensembl:lncRNA